CCUACGGGUGGCAGCAGUGGGGGAUAUUGCACAAUGGGGGGAACCCUGAUGCAGCGACGCCGCGUGGGUGAAGGAGUGCUUCGGCAUGUAAAGCCCUAUCGGCAGGGAAGAAGCAAGACGGUACCAGACUAAGAAGCCCCGGCUAACUACGUGCCAGCAGCCGCGGUAAGAGGGAUGGGGCGAGCGUCAUCAGGAUGCACUGGGUGUAAAGGGAGCGUAGACGGCCCUGCAAGCCAGGGGUGAAAGCCCGGGGCCCAACCCCGGGACUGCCCUUGGAACUGCCUGGCUGGAGUGCGGGAGGCGCAGUCGGAAUUCCUGGUGUAUCCGUGACAUGCGUAGAUAUCAGGAGG
rnacentral:rRNA from 1 species